UGAGUCCCACGUUGACUAAUUUAGAGAAUGGUCAUGAGUUUACAAGUAAAGGAAUACAUCAACAUUGGUAGGAGGGUUUUGGGGAAGCCCGAAA